UACGUAGGGGGCAAGCGUUGUCCGGAAUCAUUGGGCGUAAAGAGCGUGUAGGCGGCUCGAUAAGUCCGCUGUGAAAGUCCAGGGCUCAACCCUGGAAUGCCGGUGGAUACUGUCGGGCUCGAGUCCGGAAGAGGCGAGUGGAAUUCCUGGUGUAGCGGUGAAAUGCGCAGAUAUCAGGAGGAACACCAAUGGCGAAGGCAGCUCGCUGGGACGGUACUGACGCUGAGACGCGAAAGCGUGGGGAGCAAACAGG
rnacentral:rRNA from 1 species